rnacentral:rRNA from 1 species
UACGUAGGCAGCGAGCGUUGUUCGGAGUUACUGGGCGUAAAGCGCGUGUAGGCGGUUCAGUAAGUCUGCUGUGAAAGUCCAGGGCUCAACCCUGGGAUGCCGGUGGAUACUGCUGGGCUAGAGUACGGAAGAGGCGAGUGGAAUUCCCGGUGUAGCGGUGAAAUGCGCAGAUAUCGGGAGGAACACCAAUUGCGAAGGCAGCUCGCUGGGACGUUACUGACGCUGAGACGCGAAAGCGUGGGGAGCAAACAGG